rnacentral:rRNA from 1 species
AUAAACUAUGCCUGCCAGCGAUCCGCCGAAGUUCCUCCGAUGACUCGGCGGGCAGCUUCCGGGAAACCAGAGCUUUUGGGUUCCGGGGGAAGUAUGGUUGCAAAGCUGAAACUUAAAGGAAUUGACGGAAGGGCACCACCAGGAGUGGAGCCUGCGGCUUAAUUUGACUCAACACGGGAAAACUCACCAGGCCCGGACACCGGAAGGAUUGACAGAUUGAGAGCUCUUUCUUGAUUCGGUGGGUGGUGGUGCAUGGCCGUUCUUAGUUGGUGGAGCGAUUUGUCUGGUUAAUUCCGAUAACGAACGAGACUCUAGCCUACUAACUAGGCGUACCCGGUAUCCACAAUCGUGCUACCGGCGAUCAAAUUUCUUCUUAGAGGGACAGGCGGCUUCUAGCCGCACGAGACUGAGCAAUAACAGGUCUGUGAUGCCCUUAGAUGUCCUGGGCCGCACGCGCGCUACACUGAAGGAAUCAGCGUGUCUUCCCUGUCCGAAAGGACCGGGUAACCCGCUGAACCUCCUUUGUGCUAGGGAUUGGGGCUUGCAAUUGUUCCCCAUGAACGAGGAAUUCCCAGUAAGCGCGAGUCAUAAGCUCGCGUUGAUUACGUCCCUGCCCUUUGUACACACCGCCCGUCGCUACUACCGAUUGAAUGAUUUAGUGAGGUCUUCGGACUGGUGCGCGGAGGCCGCUCUCGCGGUCUCCGAUGUUGCUGGAAAGAUGACCAAACUUGAUCAUUUAGAGGAAGUAAAAGUCGUAACAAGGUUU